rnacentral:snRNA from 1 species
GCGCUUGCUUCCACAGCACGCAUACUAAGAUUGGAACAAUGUGGAGAUUAGCAUGGCCCCUGUGCAAGGAUGACACACGAAUUUGUGAAGCAUUCCAGAUUUUU